UUGAAUUGAAGAGUUUGAUCAUGGCUCAGAUUGAACGCUGGCGGCAGGCUUAACACAUGCAAGUCGAACGGUAGCAGGAGAAAGGUUGC
rnacentral:rRNA from 1 species